rnacentral:rRNA from 1 species
GUGCCAGCAGCCGCGGUAAUACGUAGGUGGCAAGCGUUAUCCGGAUUUAUUGGGCGUAAAGCGCUCGCAGGCGGUCUUUUAAGUCUGAUGUGAAAGCCCACGGCUCAACCGUGGAGGGUCAUUGGAAACUGGAAGACUUGAGUGCAGAAGAGGAGAGUGGAAUUCCACGUGUAGCGGUGAAAUGCGUAGAGAUGUGGAGGAACACCAGUGGCGAAGGCGACUCUCUGGUCUGUAACUGACGCUGAGGAGCGAAAGCGUGGGGAGCGAACAGGAUUAGAUACCCUGGUAGUCC